UAUAAUGGGUCAGCGACUUAUAUUCUGUAGCAAGGUUAACCGUAUAGGGGAGCCGCAGGGAAACCGAGUCUUAACUGGGCGUUAAGUUGCAGGGUAUAGACCCGAAACCCGGUGAUCUAGCCAUGGGCAGGUUGAAGGUUGGGUAACACUAACUGGAGGACCGAACCGACUAAUGUUGAAAAAUUAGCGGAUGACUUGUGGCUGGGGGUGAAAGGCCAAUCAAACCGGGAGAUAGCUGGUUCUCCCCGAAAGCUAUUUAGGUAGCGCCUCGUGAACUCAUCUUCGGGGGUAGAGCACUGUUUCGGCUAGGGGGUCAUCCCGACUUACCAACCCGAUGCAAACUACGAAUACCGAAGAAUGUUAUCACGGGAGACACACGGCGGGUGCUAACGUCCGUCGUGAAGAGGGAAACAACCCAGACCGCCAGCUAAGGUCCCAAAGUCAUGGUUAAGUGGGAAACGAUGUGGGAAGGCACAGACAGCCAGGAUGUUGGCUUAGAAGCAGCCAUCAUUUAAAGAAAGCGUAAUAGCUCACUGGUCGAGUCGGCCUGCGCGGAAGAUGUAACGGGGCUAAACCAUGCACCGAAGCUGCGGCAGCGACACUAUGUGUUGUUGGGUAGGGGAGCGUUCUGUAAGCCUGCGAAGGUGACCUGUGAGGGUUGC
rnacentral:rRNA from 1 species